rnacentral:rRNA from 1 species
GAUGAACGCUAGCGACAGGCUUAACACAUGCAAGUCGAGGGGCAGCGGGGGCGAAGCUUGCUUCGCCUGCCGGCGACCGGCGCACGGGUGAGUAACACGUAUGCGACCUGCCCCCCGCAGGGGGAUAACCGGGAGAAAUCCCGACUAAUACCGCGUAACGCCGCGGGGCUGCAUGGCCCCGCGGCCAAAGGAAGCGAUUCCGGCGGGGGAUGGGCAUGCGGCGCAUUAGCUAGUCGGCGGGGUAACGGCCCACCGAGGCGACGAUGCGUAGGGGUUCUGAGAGGAAGGUCCCCCACAUUGGAACUGAGACACGGUCCAA